AUGGACAUUGGUAGUUGUGGUGAUGACAUGGACACUGGUUUCAGUGGUGAUGACAUGGAUAUGUUUAGUGAUGAUGACAUGUUCAGUGAUGAUGACUAGUUCCAAACUGGUUUUUAGAUUCGGCAAUAUGUUUAGUGAGAAUCGAAAACAAAAACUCACCAAUAAUCUUUGAUUUUUGCUAGAGAUGGUUUUCGAAUUUUGUUAGAGAAGAGAAGCUUCGAACAUGGAUAUCGAUGGGUCUGGGCAUAACUUCAUGAGAUGGGUCUCUCUGUUUUUUGGAGAAAGAAUUUGGCGAGAUGGGUAUUAGAGAUAUGAGAUGGAAUCUGCAGUGUGUUGGAGAUGGGUAUUUGAUGGCAUGGGUUAGAGAUGGAAAUUGGAGAGCUUGGGAUUGGAUUCGGAGAGAGUUGAGAUUUGGGAAGAAUGGGUAUUUGCUAAAAUUGGGAAGAAGGGAGUCAACGUGUGUUAAAGAAGAAGGAAGGAGUUUUUUAAACAUUUUUUAUAUGGCUGAGGUUGCCGUUUUUUGCCUGUGGCAGGUGUGGGCUCCACUAAAAAGGGGAAAAAAUGAGUGAUAUCAAAAUCUGAGUGAUGAGCCAAACAAAUUAUUUUGAGUUUUGGGUUGUUGGCAAGUAAUGAGUUUUGAGUGAUGGAUAAUGAGUUUGAGUUAUGAGUUUUGAGUGAUGGAUGUUGAGUAUUGAGUUAGCCCCAAACCAAACAAGCUCUAAAUAAGCCAGAAUCCGAGUUCAUUCUUGAAUUUGAUUGUUUUGAAGAUAAGGAAUUUGAUUAUCAUCUAGGAACUAGUAGUUUAUUAAAUUUCUUGUAUUUUAAAAAAACCAGAACGGUAAAAGAAUUGAAAAUGGAUUUAGUUAUCAGUUUUUACCGAUUGAACCAUCGGUUUUCUUGGUUUUUAUCAGACGGGUUCCAGGUCUAGUUUUUGCAACCAUGAUUUCAUGUCUAAUAUUUCUAAUAUUAAUAUGAACUUUCUAGCCUGAAUGACAUAGUGUGUUUCAAUCAUUUUCAAUACAAAUCAUGGAGACAGCAUAAGUAGCACCCAUUCCAGCAAUUCUGAACUUUGUCAACAAACCUAUUUUCUUUCAACCACAUAUUUCAAAUUUGAAAGCACCAUUCUCUCAACACACCUCCUAUAUCUUUGGGGCUAUGAUCAGAAGUUGGCUUUGGCAACAAAUUUUGAUUAAAAUCCAUAAAUGAGCCUCAUGUAGAUGAGACCAUUGCAUGAUAUAUAAGGGACAUUGAUGGUUGUUCAGCAUUAUGUGACCAUGUGAAUGAGCCUCCCUUUGAGAGGUAUGUCUAUAAGAUUUUAUCUAUAUAUAUCUAAAAGCUGAAGUAUAACAUUUAUGGUUACUACGCUCCUGUUAAGCCACAUCAGCUGCCACAUCAUCCACUUAUUUCUAACAUUUUCUCUCUACUUUUUAAUUAUUUUUCUCCUUAUUAAUUUAUCAUCUUACAAUAACUCUUCCUCUAACACUUCCCCCACUUUUACCUUUUUAUUUCUCUACUACUCUAUACCUUAACCUUACAAUUCCUUCAUCCCUUCAUAUUCCUUUUAUUUUAACUCUUCUUCCCCCAUUUUUUUACUAUAAAUAUUUUCUUUUCUUUCUUCGAUUCUAUCUAUAUUUUGCCCACACAAAUAAGUGAGUACUCUCUCCCUCUCUCUCUCUCUCUCUAUCUCUCUCUCUUUCUCUCAGUGAAUUUUUAAUUCUUUGUUGCAAAUCUAAUUUAGGUUGAUGAAUUUUUUUGUUAAACUCUACUUUGGGUUGAUGCAUUUGGUUAUAUUUUAAUUUUUUGUCUUUUUUAUUUUAUUUUGUUUGAUUGUCAAAUGCUAUUUGACGAUUUAAUAUAAUGACAUAAUGUUAUUCCAUUACGCAGCAUAGCUUGGAUAAUUUGUUAUUUAUAAUUGUACAUUUUCGUUUGAAUAUUCUUCUACUCACCUUAUUUUAUAUAAUUUUGCUAUUUCUCUCACUUUCUCUCCUAGAACUAUAUAUAUCUAAAAGCAAAAGCAUAGCAUUUAUUGUUGCUACGCUCCUAUUGAGCUACAUCAGCGAUCACAUUAUUCACUUAUUUCUAACAUUUUCUCUCUUCUUUAUAAUUAUUUUUCUCCUUAUUAAUUUAUAACCUUACAAUAACUUUUCCUCUAACAUUUCCCCCACUUUUACCUUUAUAUCUCCUCCCCACUACUUUACGCCUUAACCUUACAAUUCCUCAUUCCCUUCAUAUUCCUUUUAUUUUGACUCUUCUUCGCCCCAUUUUUUUUUUACUAUAAAUAUUUGCUUUUCUUUCUUCCAUUCUAUCUAUAUUUUGCCCACACAAAUAGGUGAGUUCUCUCUCUCUCUCUCUCUCUCUCUCUCUCUCUCUCUCUCUCUCAAUGAAUUUUUAAUUUUUUGUAAUUGACACAAUACUUUCAAAAAAAUUCCACAACAAAAUCUAGGUGGCCAAUUGUUAAAGGUAGAUAAAAAAAAAAUAUUUUUAAUUGUGGGUCCAGAUAAAAAGCAGUUACAAGUUACCUCAUAUUAUUGUAAAAAUAUUGUGAAAUUAAAAUUAAGAUAAUCAUAUUCAAGUUUCAAGCUUAUUUCAAUUGGGUUCAAACAAAAUUUAGGAUUAGGGUGUUCAAAUUUUUAUUUUAAGAAUUCAAAAUGAAAAUUUUUAAAAAAUUUUAUAUAUAAAAAUUUUGUUUGAGCCAGGUCAGGGGGUUCAUUUAAACCCCCUGGCCUUAAUGCAAAGCCGCCCAUGGUGAAAACAAGUUUCAGCUGUUUUCAAAACUCAGAAACUAAAACUCAAUGGCAAGUCCAUAAAUAAGAUGAGAUUGUGGGCCCCUUCGCCAGUGCAUUGUCACAUCCAUCUCAUGCUAGUUAUGACUGUUGGAGCUUCCUUUGUUCCAUUUCAUUUCUCCCCCAAAUUUUUGCUAAAAAUUUCCCCUCUUCUCACUUCCCUCUCUCAGCCUCUUCUCAUUUUCACUUUCUUCUUCAUCCCCAGCGAGCUAGCUCUAUGGCACCAUAGUCCAUGUUUGAAGCACUAAACCAGGCCUAAGAAGAACACUGCGUGAUUGAAGAACAACGGAUGAUCGAAGCACUUAACCAAGCCUGAAUCUUCACCGGCGAGUCUACCUCUUUGUCACCAUGUCCAUACCUCUCUCUCCCUCUCCCAGGUGCAAUAUAUAUAUCUCUCUCCCUCUCCAUUUUCCAUGUCCUUGGUCUAAUUUGGGUUUUUUGUUGGAUGUGAAAGUGGGUUUUUGAUUUAAAGUAUUGAUGUUGGUUGUGGCUUGUGAGGCAGCAUUCCUCGUAAUUUUUAUGAUAGCCCUUUCUGUCAAAAUGUCCAUAAUUUUUACUUAUUUGAAAACAUAAUGAUCAAAGCAUGGUCUUCCAUGCUAACCUUGACACCCCUUUAGAUCUUUAAGUUUAUGGUGCCGAAUGAUUAUGAAAAGAUUUGCAUUCUCUACCACUUUGAUUUUGUAGUUUUGCUUUUGAUGCUUAAUGAGGUUUUGUCUUGACAAAUUCUAAUUGGAUAUUGUACAGAGCAAAUUCAGCUUUAUCAAAGGCUUUUGAGUUUGAAAUUAGGAUCAAAAUAGUAACUUUGCAUAUUCCUCCUUUUGUUGUCACAAUAAUUGUUAGCUUCCUUUUGCAUAUUCACUUUCUUUAUAAGCUUACCAUUUCAUACACUACUCAUAUUAGCACAAGGCUAAAAUACAAAUACUUUUGCAAAGUCAUCACUGUAUGUGUAUAAAUAUGUGUGAAAGAGUUAGUUGAGCUAUAAGUCUCUUGGCGUUAAUGUUAAGAACUUGGUCAUUUUUUAAUCACUUGAAAGACUAUUAAUUAAAGUAGGAUUGAUCUGUUUCUUUAUUGCUUGACAUUUUCUUCCAUAUAGCAUGUUAUAAUGCACAACUGUCUCAUUAUGGAUACUCUGUUAUGUCUAUUGUUUUUAGAAACUUACAUGUAUUAGAAACCUUUCAUUCUUAUAUGUGAUUUUAUAUUCAUAGGGUUGUUUGUGAGUCUUUUAUAUUUAAGUUUACCAUUCUGCCUUGAAGAGAAAUAUGUGGUUUUUCUUUUUUUACACCAUUCUAAUUAGUUGGUAUGUUUUAGUUUAUUUUCUCUGCAAAUUAUGUCACUAGCAACAGGUAGUAUCUUUUCCUUUGAUUUCUUUACAUUUUAGUACUGCAGCUGAUUGUGAAACUGGCACUUGAAGAAUUAUGAAAUAAAUUGCUUUCUAAAUAGGUUUUCUUGUCUUCCUCACUUAAGUUGAGUGGUUGGUUAGAGAUUCAAGUGGCCCAUUCAUAAAACUAUUAAUAUACAUGUAUAUUAACAUAUGCAAUUGUGUUGGGAAAUUUGUAUUAGAUUGCACAAGAAACUCAGGAUGAUGACAACAAAAUGUGGCCUCCCCACAUUGAACAAAUUUUCAUUGAUAUUAUGGUUGAUGAACAACAAAAGGGGAAUAUGGAACAUGGUGUCUUUAAGGCCAAAGCUUGGUUAUCAAUUGUGAAAACCCUAAAUGAGCAAACUAGGAAGAGUUUCCUCCCUAAGCAAGUGAAAGAUAAGCAUAUUAGGCUUAGGCAAAAACAGAGAAAGUGGGGCCAGCUUUUGAGGCAUACCAGGUUGGGGUGGGAUGAGACAACCCAAACAGUUACUGCUUCUGAAGAGGUGUGGGCUAACAUGGUUGUGGUAUGUUAUAUUUACUACCCUAAUUCUUUGCAUAUUUGUUUGUAUUUUUCUAUUUCAUAUUAGUAGGAUUUUGAUGUAUAUAUUAUCAUUUCAGGGGGAUUCUAAGGCAGCUGCAUUACGGAAGAAAGGGUGUCCUAAUUAUGAGAAGCUGUAGCAACUUUUUGCCCUAAAUACUGCAACUGGUUCCCUUCAAAUUUCCUCAAACACGCCAACCCCAAAUAAUGAUGAAGAGCAUGCCCUGGAGGAGGAACUUGCCAAUGAGGCACGUCGUGCCCAGUUGGUUGAUGAUGAUUGCUACAAUCCCAACAUGGAGGGCAUAACCCAAGACGAUCCCCCUGUUGAUGAUCAAACCCAACGUGCAGACAAACGUCCCAUGGAAGAGCCUACUACCAAAGGGAAGAAGAUUGCCAAGAAAGUGGAUAGGGCUAGUGAGAUGACCAUGGCUCUUCAAGAGUACACUGCCUUAGCAAGGGAAAGGUUUUCCAACAACAAAAAGGGAAAGUCUAGUGGUAGCUCUAAUCAUGUUGCACAAUCCGCCAGUGGUGGCGAUCCUUGCUCGCUUAGGAAAGUUUUAGAAGUGCUAAACCAGUAUGAAGAUCUUGAUGAUGACACCUAUGUCAACAUCGCCGAGGCUCUCCAAAAGAAAGAGAAAAGGGUCUUGUUCAUGGGCAUGCCAGAGCAUAGGAGGAGGAGGUGGAUGGAGCGCCAUGCUCAGCAGCCAGAUAAUUAA
rnacentral:sRNA from 1 species